rnacentral:lncRNA from 1 species
CUCAGUCUCCCGCUAGCCCCAAUACUCACUCCCGCCAGCAGGAAACCUUAGCCUCAAUAAGAACUAAUUUCGUGGGCUCCGGAACUGACAUCUGGAAGAACUUACCAAUAAACGGGUGACCCGUCAUUUACCUAAGCCCUGCCACCUCUCCUUACAUCUAUAUAAGCCCACAGCCUUUUGUAAUAAAGUGGAACUUCUCCGGUGAUUUGUCUCGCGUCGCAUCUUCUUUCAGGUUUCUAAAAGUAUUUUAUUUUUUCACAUUUGAAUGUAUAAUAAAUAUACUUCUGUCCAGAGAAUAGAGAGAUGCAGUGCCUUUGCCCCUUAGAUUCCAGUUUGUCUGGACCAUCAUUGUGAUCUGUCUCCACAACACCUGCUGUCAUUUAUCAUCUUUCCACAGCAUGAAGGCCAACCCACUGAAGGCUUUCUCAUGGUCUCUUGCUAACCUCUGCUGAUACUGUGCUGCUCUAAAUGUCACAUGUCUUAAGUCCUUGAGUGUGGUUGUGUGUAAGUUGCAGGGACACAUUCUGGUAGGUGAUCGUUUUGGCUCCUCCAUCACUGUGUAGACAUCACAGCAUGCUUACAGACACAUGGAGUGGCCCAUUUCACACCCAGACUGUGUUGGAUAUGUGAGGAUUCU